rnacentral:rRNA from 1 species
AUUGAACGCUAGCGGCAGGCCUAACACAUGCAAGUCGAACGAGUGGCGGACGGGUGAGUAAUGUCUGGGAAACUGCCCGAUGGCGGGGGAUAACUACUGGAAACGGUAGCUAAUACCGCAUACCAUCGGAUGUGCCCAGAUGGGAUUAGCUAGUGGGUGGGGUAACGGCUCACCUAGGCGACGAUCCCUAGCUGGUGUGAGAGGAUGACCAGCCACACUGGAACUGAGACACGGCCCAGACUCCUACGGGAGGCAGCAGUGGGGAAUAUUGGACAAUGGGCGCAAGCCUGAUCCAGCCAUGCCGCGUGUAUGAAGAAGGCCUUCGGGUUGUAAAGUACUUUCGGCGAGGAGGCGUUACUCGCAGAAGAAGCACCGGCUAACUCCGUGCCAGCCGCCGCGGUAAUAC